rnacentral:rRNA from 1 species
AGAGUUUGAUCAUGGCUCAGGAUGAACGCUGGCGGCAGGCCUAACACAUGCAAGUCGAGCGGAUGAAAGGAGCUUGCUCCUGGAUUCAGCGGCGGACGGGUGAGUAAUGCCUAGGAAUCUGCCUGAUAGUGGGGGACAACGUUUCGAAAGGAACGCUAAUACCGCAUACGUCCUACGGGAGAAAGCAGGGGACCUUCGGGCCUUGCGCUAUCAGAUGAGCCUAGGUCGGAUUAGCUAGUUGGUGAGGUAAUGGCUCACCAAGGCGACGAUCCGUAACUGGUCUGAGAGGAUGAUCAGUCACACUGGAACUGAGACACGGUCCAGACUCCUACGGGAGGCAGCAGUGGGGAAUAUUGGACAAUGGGCGAAAGCCUGAUCCAGCCAUGCCGCGUGUGUGAAGAAGGUCUUCGGAUUGUAAAGCACUUUAAGUUGGGAGGAAGGGUUGUAGAUUAAUACUCUGCAAUUUUGACGUUACCGACAGAAUAAGCACCGGCUAACUCUGUGCCAGCAGCCGCGGUAAUACAGAGGGUGCAAGCGUUAAUCGGAAUUACUGGGCGUAAAGCGCGCGUAGGUGGUUUGUUAAGUUGGAUGUGAAAUCCCCGGGCUCAACCUGGGAACUGCAUCCAAAACUGGCAAGCUAGAGUAUGGUAGAGGGUGGUGGAAUUUCCUGUGUAGCGGUGAAAUGCGUAGAUAUAGGAAGGAACACCAGUGGCGAAGGCGACCACCUGGACUGAUACUGACACUGAGGUGCGAAAGCGUGGGGAGCAAACAGGAUUAGAUACCCUGGUAGUCCACGCCGUAAACGAUGUCAACUAGCCGUUGGGAGCCUUGAGCUCUUAGUGGCGCAGCUAACGCAUUAAGUUGACCGCCUGGGGAGUACGG